GACGAACGCUGGCGGCGUGCUUAACACAUGCAAGUCGAACGGUGACCCAGGGCUUGCCCUGGUGAUCAGUGGCGAACGGGUGAGUAACACGUGGGCAACCUGCCCCUGACUUCGGGAUAACUCCUCGAAAGAGGAGCUAAUACCGGAUACGACCACUUCGGACAUCCGAUGGUGGUGGAAAGUUUUUCGGUCAGGGAUGGGCCCGCGGCCUAUCAGCUAGUUGGUGGGGUAAUGGCCUACCAAGGCGACGACGGGUAGCCGGCCUGAGAGGGCGACCGGCCACACUGGGACUGAGACACGGCCCAGACUCCUACGGGAGGCAGCAGUGGGGAAUAUUGCGCAAUGGGCGAAAGCCUGACGCAGCGACGCCGCGUGAGGGAUGAAGGCCUCGGUUGUAAACCUCUUUCAGCAGGACGAAGCGAAAGUGACGGUACCUGCAGAAGAAGCACCGGCUAACUACGUGCCAGCAGCCGCGGU
rnacentral:rRNA from 1 species